GAUGAACGCUGGCGGCGUGCCUAAUACAUGCAAGUCGAGCGAACGGACGAGAAGCUUGCUUCUCUGAUGUUAGCGGCGGACGGGUGAGUAACACGUGGAUAACCUACCUAUAAGACUGGGAUAACUUCGGGAAACCGGAGCUAAUACCGGAUAAUAUUUUGAACCGCAUGGUUCAAAAGUGAAAGACGGUCUUGCUGUCACUUAUAGAUGGAUCCGCGCUGCAUUAGCUAGUUGGUAAGGUAACGGCUUACCAAGGCAACGAUGCAUAGCCGACCUGAGAGGAUGAUCGGCCACACUGGAACUGAGACACGGUCCAGACUCCUACGGGAGGCAGCAGUAGGGAAUCUUCCGCAAAGGGCGAAAGCCUGACGGAGCAACGCCGCGUGAGUGAUGAAGGUCUUCGGAUCGUAAAACUCUGUUAUUAGGGAAGAACAUAUGUGUAAGUAACUGUGCACAUCUUGACGGUACCUAAUCAGAAAGCCACGGCUAACUACGUG
rnacentral:rRNA from 1 species